rnacentral:rRNA from 1 species
AUGGAGAUGGUGGAGAAGCUUUCUCUCACCACAAGACCACAUCCACAUCCUUACUACAUCCAAUGGUUCAACAACAGCGGCAAGGUUAAGGUAACACGUACUGUUCGUGUGCAUUUUAGUAUCUCUACAUAUGCUGAUUAUGUUGAUUGUGAUGUGGUACCUAUGCAAGCAUGUUCCUUAUUACUUGGUAGACCAUGGCAAUUUGAUAAAAAUUCUGUACACCAUGGUAGAAACAAUCACUAUACUCUAGUUCAUAAGGAUAAAAAUAUUACUUUGCUUCCUAUGACUCCUGAUUCCAUUUUGAAAGAUGAUAUUAAUAGAGCUAAUAAAGCACAACAGGAGAAGAAUAAGACUGAAAAUCAGAUUGUGGCAAAAGAAUUUGAGCAACAAAUGAAGCCUAAUAAUAAACCAUCUAGUGUUGCUUCUGAAAUUAAAUUGAAAAGUGCAUGUUUAUUUGCCACCAAAUCUGAUAUUGAUGAGCUAGAUUUCAGCAAAUCUGUUUGCUAUGCUUUUGUGUGCAAAGAGGCAUUAUUUUCAUUCGAGGACGUGCCUUCCUCUUUGCCUCCUGCUGUCACUAACAUUCUGCAGGAGUUCGCUGACGUUUUUCCACAAGACGUGCCACCGGGAUUACCGCCUAUUCGAGGGAUUGAGCAUCAGAUUGACUUAAUUCCCGGUGCUUCACUGCCAAACCGUGCACCAUACCGUACCAAUCCAGAGGAGACGAAGGAGAUUAUGCGUCAAGUACAAGAGCUUCUCGACAAAGGUUAUAUACGCGAAUCCCUUAGUCCUUGUGUUGUUCCUAUUAUUCUAGUGCCGAAAAAGGAUGGUACAUCACGUAUGUGUGUUGAUUGUAGAGGCAUUAAUAAUAUUACUAUUCAUUAUCGUCAUCCUAUUCCUAGGCUAGAUGAUAUGCUUGAUGAAUUGAGUGGCUCUACAAUAUUCUCCAAAGUUGAUUUGCGUAGUGGCUACCAUCAAAUUCGUAUGAAAUUGGGAGAUGAAUGGAAAACAGCAUUUAAAACUAAGUUUGGAUUAUAUGAGUGGUUAGUCAUGCCUUUUGGGUUAACUAAUGCACCUAGUACUUUCAUGAGAUUAAUGAACGAAGUUUUACGUGCUUUCAUUGGACGAUUUGUGGUAGUUUACUUUGAUGACAUAUUGAUUUAUAGCAGAUCUUUGGAAGAACAUUUGGAACAUUUACGUGUUGUUUUUAUUGCUCUACGUGAUGCACGUUUGUUUGGUAACCUUGGGAAGUGCACCUUUUGCACCGACCGAGUAUCUUUUCUUGGCUAUCUUGUUACUCCACAGGGAAUUGAAGUUGAUAAAGCCAAGAUUGAAGCUAUUGAGAGUUGGCCGCAGCCCAAAACGGUCACACACGUGAGGAGUUUUCUUGGCCUCGCUGGAUUCUAUAGGCGUUUUGUGAGAGAUUUCAGCACCAUUGCUGCACCUCUCAAUGAGCUUACAAAGAAAGAUGUGCCUUUUCUUUGGGGUACCGCACAGGAAGAAGCCUUCUCCGUAUUGAAAGAUAAGUUGACACAUGCUCCUUUACUCCAACUUCCUGAUUUUAAUAAGACUUUUGAGCUUGAAUGUGAUGCUAGUGGAAUUGGAUUAGGAGGUGUGUUAUUACAAGAUGGCAAACCCGUUGCAUACUUUUCUGAAAAAUUGAGUGGGCCUAGUCUGAAUUAUUCUACUUAUGAUAAAGAAUUAUAUGCUCUUGUUCGGACUUUAGAAACAUGGCAACAUUAUUUAUGGCCCAAAGAAUUUGUUAUACAUUCUGAUCAUGAAUCUUUGAAACAUAUUAAAAGUCAAGCUAAACUGAAUCGUAGACAUGCUAAAUGGGUUGAAUUCAUUGAGACUUUCCCUUAUGUCAUUAAACAUAAGAAGGGAAAAGAAAAUGUUAUUGCUGAUGCAUUGUCUCGCCGCUAUACUAUGCUUUCACAACUUGACUUCAAAAUAUUUGGUUUGGAGACCAUCAAAGAUCAAUAUGUGCAUGAUGCUGAUUUUAAAGAUGUAAUGCAGAAUUGUAAAGAAGGAAGAAUGUGGAACAAGUUUCUCGUUAACGAUGGAUUUGUGUUUCGUGCUAACAAGCUAUGCAUUCCAGCUAGCUCCGUUCGUCUUUUGUUGUUGCAGGAGGCGCAUGGAGGAGGAUUAAUGGGACACUUUGGCGUGAAGAAGACGGAGGACGUACUUGCUACACAUUUCUUUUGGCCAAAGAUGAGACGGGAUGUUGAGCGUUUUAUUGCUCGAUGCACUACAUGUCAAAAAGCUAAGUCACGACUCAAUCCUCAUGGUUUAUAUAUGCCUUUGCCUGUACCUAGUGUUCCUUGGGAGGAUAUAUCUAUGGACUUUGUUUUAGGUUUACCUCGAACAAAGAAGGGGAGGGAUAGCAUAUUUGUUGUCGUGGAUAGAUUCUCGAAAAUGGCACACUUUAUACCAUGUCAUAAAAGCGAUGAUGCUGUUAAUGUUGCUGAUUUGUUCUUUCGUGAAAUUAUUCGCUUGCAUGGUGUGCCAAAUACUAAAUUUCUUAGCCACUUUUGGAGAUGUUUAUGGGCUAAGUUGGGGACUAAACUGCUUUUUAGUACUACUUGUCACCCCCAAACCGAUGGACAAACUGAAGUAGUCAAUAGAACGUUGUCUACUGUGCUUAGGGCUGUUUUGAAGAAUAAUAAGAAAAUGUGGGAGGAAUGCUUGCCUCAUAUUGAAUUUGCUUAUAAUCGUUCAUUGCAUUCUACUACUAAGAUGUGCCCUUUUGAAGUUGUGUAUGGUUUCCUACCUCGUGCACCUAUUGAUUUGUUGCCUCUUCCAUCUUCGGAGAAGGUUAAUUUUGAUGCUAAACAACGUGCUGAAUUGAUUUUAAAAAUGCAUGAGUUAACUAAGGAAAACAUUUAG